GGUGAACGCUGGCGGCGUGCCUAAUACAUGCAAGUCGAGCGAACGGACGAGAAGCUUGCUUCUCUGAUGUUAGCGGCGGACGGGUGAGUAACACGUGGAUAACCUACCUAUAAGACUGGGAUAACUUCGGGAAACCGUAGCUAAUACCGGAUAAUAUUUUGAACCGCAUGGUUCAAAAGUGAAAGACGGUCUUGCUGCCACUUAUAGAUGGAUCCGCGCUGCAUUAGCUAGUUGGUAAGGUAACGGCUUACCAAGGCAACGAUGCAUAGCCGACCUGAGAGGGUGAUCGGCCACACUGGAACUGAGACACGGUCCAGACUCCUACGGGAGGCAGCAGUAGGGAAUCUUCCGCAACGGGCGAAAGCCUGACGGAGCAACGCCGCGUGAGUGAUGAAGGUCUUCGGAUCGUAAAACUCUGUUAUUAGGGAAGAACAUAUGUGUAAGUAACUGUGCACAUCUUGACGGUACCUAAUCAGAAAGCCACGGCUAACUACGUG
rnacentral:rRNA from 1 species